CAUGGUGGCCGUGUGAAUAAAAAGGGGUCCCACACAUUGUGUGGCCAAUUUUAAUUGGUCCAACACAUGGUGUGGGCCAAGGGCAAUGUGGAUAUUUUGUGGACACUAAAAGAUGAAUAACUAAGUCAUCUUCUCACCACUCUUCAACACUUAAAAAAAAAAUAUAUAUCAACUUGGACAGCUCCACACCCCACUGUUUUCGGCCAAAGAAGGGAAAAACCAAUCCCAUUUUUAGCUUCUUUAAAAUUAUUUCCUUGGUGUUAACCCACUAUUUGGAGGUCCCUAAGUAGCGUGGAAGUAUUGUUUGGAUCAUCCAACUACUCAUUUUGCCCAUUUGCAAACCCUAGCCUAUUGGUGGAUUGAAGAAGAAAGACCUUGGGGAGCCCGAGGCGUAGAUUGGGAUUUACUUUAGAUUGGCUAUUUUGGAGUGCGUACGAGGUACAGACGCACAGUUUGGUGAUCCUCCAGUCUAGGACACCCUCUUCUGCCGUUGGAGUGCUCUUCUCAUUUCAGAGCACAUAUUUUGGUAUACAUUUUGUUCGUUGUGUAUGUACAUAUUUGUUCAGGGGUACGGCGGGGCCCUGUCCCGUCAUAUGUUUCGGUGUGUCUGUUUAGAGGUCUGUAGACGUAUUUGUGGGUGUGUGUGCCUACUUCUGUUCAGUUGUGUUUAUAUGAUUCUAUUCGCUAUGGCAGCCUUGUCGGCCGGCGUUUAUAUACGUUUUGGGCCGUUGUGCCAUUUGAUAGCCCUGUCGGCUUUUGAUACAUUUGAUAGCCUUGCCGGCUUUUUGACAUAUAUAUAUAUAUAUAUAUAUCCGCAUACGGUUGCGUUGAGAUGUGUUUGAAACAGUUUGAUAUAGUUUGAGACGACAUAUAGUAUUUAUGGCCGUAUAUGCUAUUUGUGUGUGAUUCGAUUGAAUAAGUGCGUCAGGUUGCCCAACUAGGGCGCCAGUCACGGCCUAUGGGGUUGGGUCGUGACAAAACUAUUUUUUAAGCAGGUUGGGUCUUUGGAAGGUGAAUGGCCAUGGAAAUUGAAUUGGAAGUCAAAUGUUUCACCUAAAGUUUCAUGUUCCACUGUGCAACAGAUGUCUCUUUGGAGGUAAUUUUGUGGAGAACUACAACCAUAUAUUUAUGCACUGUGGGUUCACUUGACUGUUGGUCUCUCUUGUUUAAUUUGGUUGGUGUAAGCUCUGCCAAAUGCCACAAGAUACCAAGAAACUUUAGUUAUGUUGGAUGAGACAGAAGGUGAACUGCAGAGGCAAACUGAUCUGGAAAGACUAUCCCCAUGUGCAUCAUUUGAAAAACACGACUUUGAAAGAAACAUGAGGUACUUUUGAAGAGAAAGUUGAGCACAUUUCUUUUGUUAAGUUUAAAUGCUCACAAAAGCUGUACUUCUCAUUAGAUAGUAUGAUGUAGUUUUUGGAUUGUUUUGGUCUGUUUGUGUCUAGCUAUAAAAUUCUACUACUUUUGUACUGUAUUGUGCACCGUCUCUUGGUAUUGACAAUAAUAUUCCCAUUUUUUAAUUAAAAAAGUAUAAUAUAGCCUUUCAAUACCAAAUGUUG